rnacentral:rRNA from 1 species
UACGGGGGGGGCAAGCGUUGUUCGGAAUUACUGGGCGUAAAGGGCACGCAGGCGGCCCGGCAAGUCCCUCGUGAAAUCCCACAGCUCAACUGUGGAACUGCGGGGGAUACUGCGGGGCUUGAGGCCGGGAGAGGGGAGUGGAAUUCCCAGUGUAGCGGUGAAAUGCGUAGAUAUUGGGAGGAACACCGGUGGCGAAGGCGGCUCCCUGGACCGGUACUGACGCUGAGGUGCGAAAGCUAGGGGAGCAAACGGG